AACGAACGCUGGCGGCAUGCCUAACACAUGCAAGUCGAACGAGACCUUCGGGUCUAGUGGCGCACGGGUGCGUAACGCGUGGGAACCUGCCCUUAGGUUCGGAAUAACUCCCCGAAAGGGGUGCUAAUACCGGAUAAUGUCUUCGGACCAAAGAUUUAUCGCCUUUGGAUGGGCCCGCGUUGGAUUAGCUAGUUGGUAGGGUAAAAGCCUACCAAGGCGACGAUCCAUAGCUGGUCUGAGAGGAUGAUCAGCCACACUGGGACUGAGACACGGCCCAGACUCCUACGGGAAGCAGCAGUGGGGAAUAUUGGACAAUGGGCGAAAGCCUGAUCCAGCAAUGCCGCGUGAGUGAUGAAGGCCUUAGGGUUGUAAAGCUCUUUUACCCGGGAUGAUAAUGACAGUACCGGGAGAAUAAGCUCCGACUAACUCCGUG
rnacentral:rRNA from 1 species